UAUAGCUUUCUUAGAAAUAGAAAUAACCCAUAACAUUCUUAGUAUAUGUCAUUUAACAAUGGAUGGUAGAGAGAUAGUAAAGUUCCAUAAUUGACGUGAGAAUAGUAAAAGGAGAAAAUGACAACAUGUAUAGGUAGGCCUGCCUUUGAUUAUACGUGUACCGUGUACAGGGUAAGAAGUGGGGAAGAUAUAGUAAUGCGACGUGUGUUGACAGUCCCGCUUGUAAUGCUGAACUGCGAUAGUGUUACGGCCUAAUAGUAUCCUACAUUAUUGAAUAACAUGUACCGCAAAUGUGCCAUUAUGUACUUUGUAAUUACCUGACAAAACAAAUCAAUAAGUUAAACCAAUAAAUCGUUCUUUUUGUUAAAUUCUAAAAACCAAAUAAUUUCAAAAUCCCAAAUAUUCCACUGUUGAAUUGUUUGUUCAAAAAGUCACACCUGUUUUGUUCUGUUACAAAUUUUACAAAAUAAAUUUUCCUCAAAAUUAAUUCCUCUGUAAAAAAAAAUUAUAUUCUCUACAAUUUUAAUUCAAAAUAAUUUUCGCAUAAAAAUUCAAACAGUGUGAUUUUACAUUUUUAUAAAUGUUUCAAAUUUUACUUUUACAAUAAAAUUUAAAUAUUCCCUACAUUGCAAAUAUCCCUGUGUAAUACGAGAUUUAUUUUAUUAUUCAUCAAAAAAAAAAAAAGAAAAUAUACAACGCAUCUGUGGCAAACGUAGUCGCUGUUGCACACAAAACACUUCUUGCAGCCUUUGCACUGAUUAAAUAUCCAUAAAUUUCUGUUUAAUUUACGUGCCGAUGGCCAGCUCCACAGGAAACAGAAACUGUCCAGAAUGAUUCACGAUCGCGUGAAUAUUGCGCAAAUUACUUCCGCCCUUAAGACUCGAACUUUCAACGAUUUUCUGACAAACUAAUAAACACCAUAUUAUACAUGAAUUUAUAAGUGAAAUCUCUUUCUCUCCUUAGCACUGAAUUGUUCGAUAAUAUCAAAAAAUAUAAUAACAAUUAAUCUCUUUUUGUUUAACUUUGGAUUAUUACUAAGGCUAAAUGUACAAUAUUUUGCUUCUGAGAUAACACUAGUGCUAAUAUUCUAGUUUACUCAUUAUUUAAGUGUUUUGCUUGAACAUUAUCCACGCGUGUCUAUGAAACCCUAUAUGUACUAGCAAAAAAAUAGGUUAAGUUUAACGCGUUUACUGGUGAGACAUUUUAUAUCACAUAGUCAUUGAUUACUUAUAGUAUAGAUAAGCAUCAUACUCACACCACAAAUAAAAACACCAGUACCAUCUUUGUAGAAGACAUAACUAUUGGUAGCACGUUUCCUACGUGGGAGAAGUUGAAACGAAAAAAUUCCAUAAUGUUAAGUCGUAGGCAGACUUGAAUUAAUUCCAUAAAUACUAUAAUGAUCUUCACUUCAGAAUCUAGAAUAUACUAUAUGCGCAAUAAAUAAUUUUUAUUCAUAACAUGUAUAAUAAUUUACGAUCACGAUUAACCUUAACAGUCCAUUCAUUAAUAAGGUUAUGUUCAAAUGAAAUCCUAAAAUGAUACUUCUCAAUGCUUCGAACAUUUUAAAUAUGUAGAUUAAAGCAUUUCGGGAAUAAGGCUAUAAGGACUUUUGGAUUCAAGGUUAUUAACUUUUAAUGAUAAUAAUAAUAGUUUGAUAAAGUGAUUGUUAUAUUGAAGACAGAACUGUUAAGGGUAAGUACUUCUAAUAAUAGUACCUAUAAUAGAGAAGAAAAAGCUUGAUACCCACAACAAGUUGUAUACAGUAAUUAUUUCGUCAUUGCUAUAAAUGGACAAUACACAUAUUCACAAGUACAUGGAACAAAAGAAAAAGUGGUAAAAAUAAGUACUUCAUCUAUUUAUCCUCUGCACACUCAAAGAUAUGAAUUAGCAUUACACAAACGCGUGAUUACACUCGUACUAUAAAUAGCAUACAAUAUAAUAUGAUUUCGCUUUAGCAUUAUUUUUGUAAACAAUUUAGUAAUAGUUAUGAAAUAUUUGUAUAUAUAUGAAUUUAAAGUAUAGAAAACAAGCUUUCUAAUAAAAUAACUUUCAUUUCGUUAUUUUUGGUAUAUUAGAUUUUUUAUGUAUGAAGUAAUAGCAAUUAAUACAUUUCUUUUAAGGUAUAGGAAAUUGACGUUUAAAAAGAUUAUCUCAGAAAAUUCUUAUGUUAAUCAAGGAUUAAAUAAACAUUGUACGAAGAUAUUUAUUAUUAUUUUAAGAAAACAGUUUACAGGGGAUUUUUGAAAAGGUAUGUAUGACCAAAUGGGACAUCAAGAUUUUGCGUAUGAAUCACGAUGCGAUUUCUCAAAUUCGCUUGAUAAAAGCUUGUGCUAUAAGUGGAAGAUAAACACGUUGCAUCGCCAUUCCACUCGCCAAGUUAAACAGAACAAAAAUAUUCGUAGAGAAAUUUGGAGAGAGAAGAAUAAAGUAUGUAAUAGUAUAGAAUAAGGUAAAAAAAAAAUUAUGAUAGCUGUUAAAAGCACAGUUUUACUUGUACAUUAUAAUCUUAUAUUAUGAUUUUAUAAUUUUCAAAAUUUGUAACGAACAAUUUUCCUUAACAACAAUAAUCGUUUCAAAUUCCAAAUUUAGGAUAGCAAAGUAUCUUCUCAAAAAAUUUCAUAAUAAAAGCAAUUAUUCCAAGUUCCAUAUCUUGGAUAGUAAAGUUCCUUUCUCAAAAAAUAAUUAUUCCAAUUUCCAAUUUUUGUGUGGCAGAUACUCUUCUAAAAAACAUACAAAUAAAGAAAGUAUUUCAAUAUCCAAGACAAGUAUUCAUAUACUAUAUAACAAAAAAAAUCGUGAUAAGUUUUAUAAAAUACACUGCGAUGAAUACAAACGAUUUUCAUAAGAAAUUAAUAAAUUCAGUUAACCAGUCCAUGACUUUAUCUUCGUCAGAACGAUAAUAAACUUUAAAACGCCAGAAACUUUAUACGUAAACGAGAAUGGUUGAAUUGCAGAAACUGUGAAAUAAAUUCUAGAUUUCAGCGUAGAGUACGAAGGAAGACGGAAGUUGCCGAGGAAAUACGAACUGAUAAACAAAUAACGGCAACGCGGCGCUACGGAAAUCUGAGAACGUACAUAUGUGCCAGUCUCGCUUGAAUUCCUGAAUGCAUGUUGCGUUUGUCCUUUAUUUACUAUUACUUUUAAUUGGUUCACCAAGUUAAUAAAAGUCGUUUUAGUUGACUUCCUUUUGAUCAAUUAAGGACUUCGUGGGAGGGCACUUUAAAUGGCCUUCGAAUCAUAACUGAUGUGUCACCAUUGAUACUGAUAAUGCUAUGCUUCAUUUAUUUUAAAAUCCUCACCUGAUUGAAUAUCUAUAAAAAAGAUAGAAUCAAAUGAUGAGUAUUAAAAUUGAAUUUGGAGGUACUUGAUCAUUCAAUUUCGGAUUUGAAUUUUUAUUGAUAUUUAAAAUUUGGAUGCCUAAAUUGGAAUUUCUUAGUUUGAAUUAAUAUUUGAGUGUUUAAAUUUGAAUUGAUUGAAUUAGAAUCGUUAAAUUUGAAUUUAAAAUUCGAGUUUAUACUUUAAUCUGAAUAUAAAAUUUAAAUUUCCCUUUAAAGGACGUUUUCUUUAUGUUUAACGUGGAGGAAACCCGCACGGACACCAGGCCGCUUCUGGGGCCGCAACCGACUAAAAUCUCCAUGAUGACUGCGAUCGAGAGAGGCCCGGAAACGCCUUUUAAGGACUAUUGUAAAACUAACAAAGAAAAUCGACUACUUCGCCGCCGAUUCUGAAUAAACCUAACAUUUUUUGAAUACGUAACCUAGAUGACAUACUUUUACCCUGCCUUCAUACUGCAUAUAACCUCACUUUUCUUAUCCCCUAACUUAAAACUCACUUGGUAAAUACCCUCUAAUCUAAACUAUUCAAUAAAACACCUAGAGCUUGCAACAAAAUGAUCAAAGAAUCUUCCUUGUCACAGUUUCUCGUCACAUAUAAGUAAGAUAAACGACCAAUCAAGAACAUGAUACUUCCUUAACAAAAUAAUCCCUUCAAACUCCAUGACCUGGCACACAAUUGAUUUUUCCCAGAGCAAAUACUUGCAACGUACAAAGAUAUUGCUCAGAGAGCAGAAAACAACGGUUUAAUUAAUUGCAACGUCUGAUCGAGCUUGAGGAAGUAAAAGGGGCCACUUGAACGACCGUGAUCCUGUGUUCUGUCGAGAUGGAAGAGGGCGACGUUGCAGAAUUUCACGAAACAGAGCAAAGAAAUAUCCUGUUGACGCCGUACGGAGGUGAGGAUCAAUGCCAUCACUAUGCACAUGCACGCUUCCGUGGACGAAGUUGACGUACGACAAAACGGCGCCAACGUGGUCUCUGCCAGGCCAAUAACGUCUUUCGAAAUUUUGACGCUUCCGAGUGGGGUCGCGUGGAAUGAACAAUUGAAGAACAGGCAGGGAAACGAACAAUCGUAGAUAAGCAUUGUGUAUGCAACGACUAUUCGAAUGUUGUCCACUUUAUACGAAUAUUAGGUCAGUUUUUCACCAAUCAUUUAAAUACCUGCAAUUCAUAGAUACAUAGAAUUUUGUUCUUUAUUGAAUAUUAUAUUAUUUUGUUUCAUUUUGAAUAAAUGUAAUUGAUAGAAAUUUUCAAAAAUUGUUCAUCAAUAAUUUCUGCCAUAUGUAAUUUAUAAUAUUUUUGUGCUAUAUAGUUUAUUAACAUAUGGCAGGAACUGUAGACAAUAUUUUUAUAAAUAUGCAAUACCUCUUAAUUCUAGUUUUGUAUACUCUAUAGUCUUCUGAAUUUUGUAUUGACUGAAAAAAGGAUUAGGUUAAUUAAUGCAUUGAUCACGAAAUGAUUAAACUUAGAACGCUUUAUCGACUUACCUCAAUCCAACGAAAUACGUUCUUAUGAAGUGCAUAUGAUUCUUUGGUGAACUUGAAAGAGGUAGAUUGUUGUAGAACUCUCGACUUCGCUGAAGAAAGCAGAUUCUAUUUCAGUAAUGAAAAUCUUAUAAUGCGUGAUGCGAAACUGAAUUCCGCAUCAAGCUUUUAUUAAUUAAGGAAGGUACAUUAAGAUGAUUAGUAAAAUGUACCACACCUGUUCAACGUUUGCACGCAACUCCUGUUCUUUUUUAAUAUUCCAAUUUCUCUAAUCUCUAAAAAAAAGCACAUCAACAAAGAAUGAGAUUGAAAAAAGUUAACAUUUUUUUCUGUAUGAAAUAUAGAAAAUUUAUUAUCAUUUUUAUAAAUUUCUGUUUAGAAUAAAAUAAAAGUAUCAUGUUCGUUUACCUUUUAUUUUUAUAUGUUCUUCCUUUUUACUUAUACAUUAUUUAAGAAAAUUAUUUCAGAAAAUUAUUUUAUUUCAAAAUCAAAUAUUUAUUAAAGAAAUUCUGUUUGAUUUUGCAUACCAUUACAGAGUAGCUCUCCCUUGAUGUUUAUUGUCCGUUCAAAACUGUCUUACUCUCCUUACUCUGCCAUAAUCAUCCUUUUCAAAUAUUUAGCCAGAAAGUACGCGGCAAAUUGAAACAAUAUUUCAAUUCUUAACAUUUUACGUAACGUUUUAUCUAAAACAUUAAUUUCAAAAAGAAUUAUUAUUUAUUAUAAAUUACCACAAAUGCUAUUUUAAAUUGUUAUUCUAUUGGCCACUAGAAAUGCUAAUUCGGGAAGUUUCAGGUUAAAAAUCACAAAUUACAAGUUAUUCUGUCUAUCAACAGGAUAUAAAUAAUAAACACUAUAUAUGUACGUGCGUGUGAUUAUCUCAUUUGCUUCAUUUGUCUUUUCUCUAAAAGGAUAUGAGUUAUGUAUUCACUGUGGCACACCUAGGUUAAAAGGCCAUAAUUCUGUAAAUAUAUCAUGCUGUGAAUAAGAUAGAUAUUUCCUUUAUUUAAGCUUGAUACUCAUCGAAAGUAAUAUAUCACAGUCAUUUACGAAAUUCAAAUGUUAUUCUUAAUAAUAAAUCAGUUGGUCCUUCAAAUAUUCGAAUCCUGCUUUUGACAUUCAAAAAACAUUUAAAAAUCAGAUCUAAAACUUUUAGUAAUCAGUUGUAGUACUUUUUUCAAACAAAAGUCAAUACAUAACGUAUAGACUGCGAUUUGCAAAUUUAAGAUUCGAAAAAUCUAUAGAAUAUAAUAUGUAAAGAUAUAUAAGAUAUUUAAAGCACUUAUUAUGAUACUUAGUAGAUGAAACAAAUUUCUAUUUAGAUACGACUUCUUUAACCAUGUUUAUAAAAAUAUCAAAUUGCAUAAAUAUCCACAGUCUAAUGAUAUGAAUCUGAUUUACCGACAAUGAUAAAACCGUUGUAAGUCAGCGCACUCUGCGACAUUCACGAUGUAUCGUUACAUACUAGAAAUCUAUCUCUUUUAUCCUAAGAAAAUUUGAUUGAAUUUACUGUUAACUUGAUCAUAAUUUUCCGUCAUAAAUGUUUUUCUAUCCUUAAGUUUCAAAAAUAAAAUUGUUAUUGAGCAGCAGGUGAUAUUCGCAACAACGUUUCGGACAACUGUGGUUGGCAACUAUGUUUGGCAAUCUGCCAUAUGAACAAGUAGUGUGAAUGUAAGCCAAUUAUGACAUAAUAUCGUCUGAUUAUCGCAACACACAUUGCCAAUAUAUCUUUAUGCACUGUACAAUGUUGUUAUAUAGCAUAACUUCAUUAUGGUUCGCUACCAUUAUCGCUCAAUACCAUGAAUAACCUAUAUUCCAUGUGCCGAGAUCCCUGAGAAUUUGAAUGGUUCGAUUACGAAAUUUGACCUAAAGAGGGCGUGAUAAAGAAGGGUGUAAUAUUUUUCACGCAAUAAUUGAACAAAAGAAUACUUCUUUCUCUAAUUUUACCAUUAUAUAAACUAGUUAUAUAACUUUUCAGUGUGUCUAUUAAAAAAUUUCAUAGAAACAACAGAAUUACAUUUGAUACAAAAGUUUGAUGACAUUAAAUGCAAAGGUGCAAGGAAGUAUGAAACUUUGAAGAGAAGUUUGUUGCAAGUAUACCAUGAAGUAUAGAAUAUAUAUAUGUACAUACAGUUGAUCACAAAAGUAAAUUCCUAUAUAUUUUUAUUAAUAUAUUGUGUAAUCAUAUAUGUUAUUGAAACACAACUACCAUGAUUAUAUGUAUGUAUAAAAUUUGAAACAAACCUGAAAAUGUGUAUAAAAACUACGAGAGAUUUAGUGCAAGUAUAUAUUUCACAUUUAUGUAUAGAUGAGAGAAUUAUUAGUCAAUUGUCCAUUAUAUUAAGUCUUAAAUUCAUUUAGUAAGAUUGUUUUUUGCCAGUUAUUAUACUUAAGAUGCCUGUUCAUAAUGUACAUAUAUUUUUUAUCAAAUGUAUGUUUACAAUAAAUAUCUCGUAAUUUAUAUAUACAUUUUCAAAUUGACUUCCAAUUUGUCCAAUGUAAUCAUAGCACUCGUGUCUCGUUAUAUCACUAAUGAAAUUUUAAAAUGUCUCCUGUAACACAUCUACGAUACGUAUAGCUAACAUAGAAGUUAUGUAUAGUGUAUAGUAAGUGUUAAAAUACUUUCGUGAGCCACUGUACGUUAGGUAACAGUAGAAAAUUUCCAAAAUGGAACGUAUGCUUCUAGCUUUAGUCGUUUGAGCGCUGAACUGUUUGGUAAGGUAUAACUUGCAUUUCCUUUGCAUUUAAUCCCGUCAAUUACAUAACAGAGAUGCGACGACCGGAAGCGCUGCUUAAGAAGCGUCAGCCAAAGAGUCAAAGGUAUUUCUAUGAAGUCCUUAGGAUUGCAGGGUUUUACACAUCACAAUAUUAUGAUAUAUCGUUUCCUAAUAAAGAAACGUAACAUGUAUCGUAUAACAAUCGAACUCGUGCUGCAAAAGAACUUUCGUUUCUCCUUUUUUUUUUUUCAGUUUCCUUCAAUAUAUUGUACCUUAAUAUAAAGGCAACAACGAUAAAAUGAUUGUGCAAUACAAAUAUAUAUAUAUGUAUAUAUCUCAUCGAAUUUCGAUAUUCUUUAAGUAUCUAUAUACUUGUCUUAAAUAUAAUACUGUAUUAUGUACAUACAUACAAAUAUAAUAUAUAAUACAUACAUUAUAUUUAUAUCGCUUUACAGCUUUGCUUUUCUUGUUCGUCUCUUUUAAAGAAUGCAACGAAGAAAAUAUUCCCGCUGGAGUUUGGAACUGAAAGUUCUUACGAGAUCACAGGAAAUCACGAUUUUACAAACGGCGAUCACGAUAAACAAUAGACCCCAUUUUUAUUUGGACAAGGUACAAAAAAUAUUGUCAGCAUACACGGUAUGCAGAAUGCGGUUUUACGUUAGAAUAUAAAACUCAUUCACGAUCUAUUAUUAAAUAAUUAAACAAUAGCCUACUUUGCGAGAUUAUCGUCCGGGAUAAUCGGUCUGAUUUAUUAAUAGAACCUCAGAUCGAUUGCCACUACGUUUAACGUAUCAGAAGUUUCGAAAUACUAUGUGGAAAAACUACAAAGAGCCGGUUUUUUUGCUCGUUUCUUCACGGUUUAUCCGCCUGUCGGUGAUUCUUUCAUUUUCUUUUUUAUAUUUAAACAGUACGAUGAACUUAUAUACAAAAUACUAAGAAGUAAAAAGAAUUAUGUAAUCAAUAUCGAGCAUUUUCAGGUCAGAAGAUAACAUUCAAUAAAUAAGUUAAUCAUCAACAAAAAAGAAGAUAUAUAUAUAUCGACAGGCGAAAGAGCAAUUUUAAAGAGAAAGUGAAACUGAAUGAUCGAGACACCAGUAAUAAACUUCCGCUUAAUGAAGCGAAAUUCGUUACUUCGAGUGAAGGCACUUUUACCCACAGACUGAUUUACACUUUCCUUUGCACGCACACGCAAGAUCAAUCUACGUUCUGCUCUAUAUACAUAUACAUUGCUCAAACAUCACUGUCACACGUUUAUAACGUUGCGUCUGUUUCUCGAUAUCGCGGAAAAUCGCUCAAAUGAAACUUGACCGAUACAACAAUUUGUCAGAACGUAAUAACAAACGAGUCGACUUCUAAACUACCAUUACAGCGUUACAGCUUUCUAACUUGUAUCCACUUGUACGUCUCUAAAGUCUAUCCAAUUUCCUAUUAACAUGCAAUUUAUUCGGUUUAAGAAAAUAAGAACAAAAGUCGUUAGAAUUGCGAGCCAUAAAAUCAACGUGAAAAAUCAGGAGAUAAAGGAAUUAUGUAUGUUUAAAUAAAGAAUUAUACUUUUAUGUAUAUCGUUAGAUGUAAAAAAGAAACGAAAGAGGAAGUCGAGGUGUAUAAAUUGUCUAUUAUCGUUCGAGUUUCAUUCAAGGGUUGUUUUAUCUAGAAACAAAUUGCACUUUUUCAAAACGAGCGAUCAUCGGGGAUAUAUUUGCACAUUUGCUUCGCAAAAAUAUUCCCAACAGAUCGUGUGUUACAUCGCUACAUAAAUCACUUUCGCGCUUUUCUCUUUACCAAAAACAUCAUACAUACACAUAUAUACAUGUACAUUUGCGCGUAUUAAUCAUUUUAAGUAAAACAACAUGAAAGUUCGCGCUAGGAAUUGGUAGAAUACUUAAAUCACGCACACAUGGUGUAUCGCGUGCAUCGCUAGCCAAAAUCGAUACCACAACAUGUAGCCUCGCGAACAAAGAAUUCAGCUUAGGAUAUAUCUUCAACUUUGUGAAUUCCUUUGUAAGAAAAUAACGUAGCAACGAUGACACGCGAAACACAUUGCUCGAGCUGCCAAGAUUACCUUUCAAACUUACUGUCUAUAUAUAUAUACAUUUAUCUAUACGCAUUAUUCUAAUUUAUAACAAGCCUAUCCAGUGGACACAUUCGUCGAUACAUAAGAUUUCGAGUAAAUCCUAUUUUAUAAGAUCCUUUGUAAAAUUUCGAGUAGAUUCCACUCUUUGCAAUCCAAUCCGUACAAACGACCGAUAUUUCGAUUUUUUCUUUUCUUUUUUUUUUUUUUUUAAGACUUUACUGACGAAACGAAUGAUUCUUUUAAUUACUUUUAAAGGAGGAAUAUUUAAAAAAUUAUAGAAAUGCUUUACAGAAUUAUAUGUCAGUUUUAACGGUCAGAUUUGAUUGAUUUUGGAAUCGAUUGUAUAGAUGGAGACCGCAAAGGGCGAGUUUCGUGGCGAAACGCAAUUCACCAGGCUCAAAAUUUCAAGCAGAGAUACAUUUGCACGCGAUCUAUAUUUUUUUAUUAAUUUUCACUCGGUAACUCGAUUACAGACGUUGAAAAAAAUUGAAAGAGAAAGCAAGCGGUAAGAGUGGUGAAAUAGUAGAGCAAUUAUAGGUGAAAUAAUGGGCAUAUCUCUUCCUCCUUGCCUUUGCUUCGUGCGCGGAGAAAAAGGUAAUGAUAUAACGCUAAAAACUGUACAAUAUGUAUUUUAUACAUUCUGUUCAGGCCAUUGUACGUGCUCGUGUUACAAGUAUUAUGUAUUCGUAUCUAUCACGCGCUGGUAUAUACAAAUCGAUACACAUCCCGCCACAUUCUUUGAAAUUCACCGGCGUUCGCCCUUUAAAACACUUGUAAAAGGAAACAAUAGAACCAGUAACGUAACGAUCGAACUGAGAUAUUGGAGAUUUUCCAUGAUGUGAGAAAUUAAAUCUAUUCCUUAUAAUAAAUUUAUACAUCUAGUCAAUUUGUGUGUCUGUAUCAAUUUUGUAAGUAAAUGUAUUCGCAAACAAUGGAAUUUAAGUUUUUACUAAUAGAUCAUAAUCAUACACAUGUAUUAUUUAAGGAAGGAAUACAUUUACCAAGAAUAAUGGACAUUUUCAUACUUAAUUAAUAAUUUUGUUAAAACGUUAGAUAAAUCCACGCAUUGACUAAUAAGUGUAUAUAUUUACCAAACAGGACAUUUUCAUCGUAACAUAUCAAUGAACUUGCUUCUCAAAUAUCAUUUACAACAUCAUAAUCGACGAAAUAGUUGUUGAAAGCGUUUUAAAGUAUAUUGGAGAUUAUUUAAAAGUUUAAAAAUUUCGAUAUGUUAGAAUAAGUAAAAAUGUUCGAACAGAAAAAGAGUAAGUUAUGUCUCAGAUGUUAGGCCACAUGAAUUGUAAAACACAGAUAACUUAAGGAGGAACCAAAAAUCGAUUUUCUGUGAUAGUAGGCGAAUCGAGGUAGAUCCAUAGAAAUUUCAGAUAGUCAAAUAACAUGAGUCGUAAUAAAAAAAGAUACAUUUUUGUAAUCUAUAAAUAAUAAUUCAUAUACCUUCGUCCAUGAGUUUUUAAAAUAAAAAGUGAAAAAUAGAGGGAAAAGAAAAUUGCUUCUAAAGACAUGAAAUAAAAUGAUCUAUAAGUCUGUAAGUACCUUGGAUCUGUUAAAAGAAAAGGAUAAAACAAAAACGUUUAAUAUAUGUGAAUUGAUUAAAAUAAGGAUAAUAGAAAAUAAAAGAAAAAAUUGAUCAAACGGAGAAAAGAGUGAAAGAACUAUGGAUCUACAUAAAAUCACAAUGUCGCGUUCGAACUUACGAAUCUUUAAAGGAAAGCAAUGGAAAGUCGCGCUUUAGUUCCUCUACUAUCUUCCAUUAUAAGUAGAGAAAAUAAAACAUUUCUCUUUCUUCUUUAUCACGGAAUGCUUUAAACAAAUAGGUACGAAAAAAAUACAAUGUACGUUAAACAGGAGUACGGUUUUGUCGAGUGCUGGCAAGGUCCUCGGUAAAUUGCAAUGUUUUAUUAAACAGUCAAUUAGUUUUCCAAGGAUUUAUCUUGCUACACUUAAUUCCUGUGCAUUUCGCUAUCGAUAUCUACAUGUAUUUUGCGUUUUUAUUCAAGACAAUGAUUCGUUUGCUUGCUACCCGAGUUUCAAAAUAUCAUUUUUUCACAAAAAUUCUGUUCUGCGAUGAGUAGCAAAUUAUUCAAAAUUCUUUCAUUCAUUAAACGUUGUAACUAAAUUUGUUCCGCUCGCUAAAUAUUGUAACAAAUACCUUAUUUUGGAUAUUUUAUAUAUUUUUACACAUUUCGUACACUUUUGCAUCCAUAAACAUAUAAACACGAAAACGUCCACAAUCGAGCGAUGAGAUUCGUAAAACGAAUAAUCAAGAUACAUAAAAAGAAACUUUAAGUUAGCUAAUAAAGAAACUACUGAUGUUUUUACAAAAUCACAAUAUAUGUAUGCACGUAUAUAUAUACAUAUUUAUAUAUACACACACAUGGUUCCACAAUUCUUUAUAAAAAAAAAAAAACUCCAUCGACAUAUCUAUCUUCUUUUUUGUCACAGAUGAGAAACGCUCGAGAACAUUGAACGCAGUGGAUGAAAAAAGAAGAAACGGAAUGAAAAGAAAACGGGUUGGUCAGGCAAACGAACCAUCGUCAACGGAACUCGUUCGUCACAUUUCUUUUUUCUUUUCUCUUUUUUUCGUGCAAUGGUGUUUGUUCCUUCGCAAUAGGAAAAACAAGAACAAAAUAAAAAUGAUUGCAAGAUA